AUUGAACGCUGGCGGCAGGCCUAACACAUGCAAGUCGAGCGAGCGGCGGACGGGUGAGUAAUGUAUGGGGAUCUGCCGGAUUGAGGGGGAUCACUACUGGAAACGGUAGCUAAUACCGCAUACCAUCGGAUGAACCCAUCUGGGAUUAGUUAGUUGGUUGGGUAAAGGCUAACCUAGGCGACGAUCUCUAGCUGGCGUGAGAGGAUGAUCAGGCAAACUGUGACUGAGACACGGCCCGGACUCCUACGGGAGGAAGCAGAGGGGAAUAUUGCACAAUGGGAGCAAGCCUGAUGCAGCCAUGCGGCGUGUAUGAAGAAGGCCUUAGGGUUGUAAAGUACUUUCAGCGGGGAGGCGUUACCCGAAGAAGAAGCACCGGCUAACUCCGUGCCAGCAGCCGCGGUAAUUC
rnacentral:rRNA from 1 species